GAUUCCAUUUGAAUGGCGUGAAUGCUUUCAAAGUUUGAAUGUAUAUUUUCUUCAGAGGAAGGGUUUGGGCAACUUCCCUUCUACUUUCUAUAUACUCAUGUCUGUUGAAUUUUCGGGAGUACGUGUUUGUAACCAAUUUGUGCAAAUAGUCAAUGUCAACUCAAGUCAACUACUACUAUUGGUGAAGUAAAAUCUGCUCUAGUUCUAUUCUAUCCCGUUCAUCUCAAAUAUCAGAUGUUCUUUCGUCUAUCUAUAACCAAUUACUCGCUUCAUUUGCUUGAUUUUCAGUGUUAGAUACAGUAGAGAUGGAGUUCAUCGGAUUCUGUCAAGUUUUCAUCACCAUCAUGACUCUACUGUACAUGUGGUGCAGAUCAUUAACAUUUUCUUCUCGGGAUUCUUCUGCUGCUACCGAUCAUGAUGAUGAUGAUGGUGAUAUCCCCCUUCCUCGUGAAAAGUACGAUGUCUUUGUUAGUUUCAGAGGUGAGGACACCCGCCUUGGUGUCACCAGCCAUCUUCAUGAGGCCUUACUUCAGAAGAAAAUCGAAACAUACAUAGAUUACAGACUUAAUAGAGGAGCCGACAUCAGACCUGCCCUUCUAGAAGCAAUCGAGAAAUCUACGGUUUCAGUAGUCAUUUUCUCACGAAACUAUGCUUCUUCCUCUUGGUGUUUGGAUGAACUGGUACAUAUGCUGAAGCGCAAGGAAAAAUAUGGGCAGAUGGUUAUACCUAUUUUUUACGACAUCAACCCAUCAGAUGUACGAAAACAACAGGGGAGUUAUGCAGAUGCAUUUUCUCAACUUGAGAAACGUUUCAAGAACAGGAAUGACAAGGUGCACAACUGGAGGGCCGCUUUGAAAGAAGCAUCCGGUAUAUCUGGAUUUGAUCAUUCCAGCAAAACAGGGACGGAGGCUGACUUAGUUAAGAAAGUUGUCGACGCUAUUUGGAACAUAUUGAUUCGCAAAUCGUCAUGUUAUUUAAAAGGCCUGGUUGGAAUUAAAACCCACAUUGAACAAAUUGAAUUGUUAUUAUGCGUGAAUGAUACAGUAGAUGUUUGCACUGCAGGCAUUUGGGGCAUGGGUGGUAUUGGCAAGACCACUCUCGCCGAGGCUGUAUUUCGCAGGCUCUCUUCUAAGUUUGAAGCUUGUUGUUUUCUUAAAAAUGUUAGAGAGAUAUCAGGACAAACAAAUGGACUAGACCGCUUGCAAAAUACACUUCUUAGUGAGAUAUUAAGGGAAAAAGAUCUACCCAUAGGAUCAACUUUUGUUCGAGAAAGACUCAGCCGUACAAAGGUCCUUGUUGUUCUUGAUGAUGUGAGUGAUCCAAUGCAAAUGGAGCAUCUAGCUGGCGAUCAUCUUCGGUAUGGCACUGGAAGUAGAAUCAUUAUAACAAGUAGAGAUAGGAACACACUUAAGCAAACUGUUGAAGACGACAAGAUCUAUGAGAUUGAGGGAUUGAAACCGGAUGAAGCUCUUCAGCUCUUUCAUUUGAAUGCUUUCAAGAAUAGCACUCCUACAACAGAUUAUACAAAGUUAUCACUGAUGGUGGUGGAUUAUUCUGGAGGCAAUCCGUUAGCUCUUAAAACGAUGGGGUCCUCAUUUCAUGGCAAGAGCAAAGAAGAGUGGGAAGACGAAUUGAAAAAAUUGAAACAAUUUCCAAGUGAAAAAAUCCAUAAAGUGUUGAGACGAAGUUAUGAUGAAUUAGAAAAAAAUGAGAAGGAGAUAUUUCUGGAUAUAGCAUGUUUUCAUAAAGGAAAGCGUAUGGAUGAUGUAAAAAAAAUGUUUGAUAUUCGUGGGUUCUCUGUAGCAUCCGGAACUAGGGUUCUCAUUGACAUGUCUCUCAUAUCAAUUGUUUCAACAUGGAGAAAAAUAGAGAUGCAUGAUUUACUUCAAGAAAUGGGCAGGGCAAUUGUUUUGGAGCAAUGUAUUGAAGAGCCUGGAAAACGCAGUAGGUUGUUUAGUGCUGAGGAUGUGUAUCAUGUAUUGAGAAAUAACACGGGAACAGCAUCGGUUCAAGCCAUAUUCUUUAACGGAUCUGAGUUUGAAGAGCUAGAAUUGAACGAUGCAGAUUUCAGAUCGAUGUCUAAGCUAAUAUUGCUAAGUGUGGAUUUUUCUAAGACUGGCAACUCCUGCAAAUUAAAGGUUUCUCUACAUCUUCCAAAUUCUCUUCGUUAUCUUUACUGGCGUGGAUAUCCUUUGAAAUCUUUGCCUUUAAAGUUUUCUCCGGAAAAUCUUGUUGAGCUUCAUAUGCCCAACAGCCAUGUUCAACAGCUUUGGAAAGACGACAAGAAUCUGAUGAACUUAAAAGUGAUCAAUCUUUGUUAUUCCGAAGAUCUAACUGAAGUGCCAAAUCUCUCUCGGAGUCCAAAACUUGAGCAUAUAAAUCUUCUUGACUGUGAAAGUUUGGUUAAAAUACCUUCGUAUUUUGAAUACCUUGACAAGCUUACUUAUCUUAAUCUUGGAUGUUGCAUGCGUCUCGAACAUCUUCCUGAGAUGCCAGGCAAUAUUGAAUUCUUAAGUUUAACAGGCACUGGUAUAACGGAAUUGCCUUCAUCAGUUUGGUCUAAUGAAAAAAUAUCUAGGCUUAACAUUGGAUAUUGUAGAAACCUUAAGAAACUUCCAAGCUGCAGAUGUAAGCUGAAAGUCUCUGGUACUUUUAAUCUAAAGCACUGUUUCUCUCUUGGUGAGUUUUCGGAGCUUCCCAGGGAUAUAAGUGUAUUAGAUUUGACUGGAACAACAAUAGAAGUAUUGCAUGUAUCAUCACUGGAGCACCUCUUUAGUCUCACCACAAUUCAACUGAAAGAUUGCAAAAUGCUCGUGACUCUCCCGACCGGCAUUUGUACGCUGAAAUCUCUUAAGGAACUUGAUCUCACUGGUUGCUCUAAAUUCAAUAACUUCCCAGAAAUCGUGGAGCCUAUGGAACAACUGGAGUUUCUCAGUUUAGAAGGAACAUCGAUUAAAGAACUACACUCAUCAAUUGAGUUUCUCUAUGUUCUGAAAAAACUUCGACUGAAAGGUUGUGAAAAGCUUAUAUGCCUUCCAACGAGCAUUUGCAAGUUGAAAUCUCUUGAGGGACUUGAUCUCACUGGCUGCUCUGCAUUUUACGAAUUUCCUGAAAUAUUGGAGCUAAUGAAAGAUCUGGAGUUUCUUUGUUUAGAAGGGACAUUGGUUAAAGAGCUUCCAUCAUCAAUCAAAUGUCUAAUUGGGCUUGAAACACUAGAUCUUCGUCUGUGCAAGAACUUUGAGUUUUUCCCAAACAGCAUCUACAGUUUAACCAAACUCAGAACUCUCAGCUUCUUUUCCUGUUGGAAACUUGAAACUUUGCUUCCUGCUACUGUCUUCAGUUUGCUUUCUUUGGAAGUACUAGACCUCAGUUACAGCGGUAUAUCCGAAAUCCCUUCUGGUCUCAUUUGCUUAACCUCAUUACGUGAUUUAGAUUUAAGUGGAACCAAAAUUAAGAACAUACCCGCAAGCAUAAAACAAGCUUCUCAGCUGUCUCGCCUGUGCUUAAUCAUGUGCAAUAGACUUGAAUCGUUACCAGAGCUCCCGGUGAUAUGUUGUCUUGAAGCAGAUGGCUGCACAUCCCUGAAGACAGUGUCAAGUUCAAGGGCUGCACUCGUACAAUGUUGGGACAAAUACGAACUUUUUCCUGGGGUGCUUAAAUUUUCUAAUUGCCGAGCAUUGGAUCGGAAUGCAAAGAGCAACAUAAUGGCUGAUGCACAGCUCAGAAUUUUGCGAGUGGCAACUGCAUCGUCCAUGUUUAUAGAAGAGGAUAAUGAAAAGUACCCUUAUCGGCGGCCUUUGGUUACCAUUGUAUGCCCGGGAAGGCAAAUUCCAGUUUGGUUCAGCUAUCAAAAUGGGGGAUCUUCGGUAAACAUAGAGCUUCCUCCAGAUUGGUUUCGUGCAGGGUUCUUGGGUUUUGCUUUCUCUGUUGUUGUCGCAUAUGGCCAAUAUCCGCUUUUGAGGUUGGGAGUUAAAUUCACUUUAAAAAAUAAUGACGGUGAAAGCCAGGAAAUCAGUCGUCAUUUCAUUUUCCCGUGUGGAUAUGGAGAACGGCAUGACUACAUUUUCAAUCCAUAUCACAUGUAUGUGUGGUAUAACGCCUUCAAACUUGAUAAGGAAGCAAAACUCUCCAAUGACUUUUACAAACUCGUCACCGAGGCCUCUGUCCACUUCUCUUGCCCACGGAAUUGUCCAGACCAACUCCUGUCCUAUGUGAAAGUGGAAAAAUGUGGGAUCUGCCUGUUGUAUGCCGACGAUGCUGAGAAGUUAAACUGAGAUGUCAUUUCGAAGGAGCCUGAAGUAGUGGCUGAUAUGCGACAAGAUGAGUCUGAGGCGAGUGGAAGUGAUGGGGGAGAAGCCAUUCGAAGUGAUGAGAGUGAAGCGAGUGGAAGUGGAUGAUGACAUUGGCAAUCGUUGAUUGUUCUGUACUACAACCAACCCAUGUGUAAGGCGUGGCGGUGUACUCCUUCGAAGGGGUUGGGAUGGUUCUGCCAUUGGAGUCGGAGGCGAAAGACAAGGACAAGUUUGGGAAGGUUCUGGCUUCGACAAUGACAUUCAUUUCUCUGAUGUAUGGAAGAUUUGGAGCUCUUGGUUAUUUUGCAUUUGGGGACCAAACCAAGGAUAUGAUCACAGCUAAUUACGGCGCGGGAUUGAUUAGCACCCUGGUGAAGCUCGGCCUUAUGGUGAAUGUGUUCUUCACAUUGCCUAUAAUGAUGAACCCGGUGUAUGAGAUUGUCGAAAGGCGGUUUUGGGGAGGGAGGUAUUGCUUGUGGAUGAGAUGGGUGCUGGUUUUGGCAGUGAUCUUGGUGGCAUUGUUGGUCCCCAAUUUCGCGGAUUUCAUGUCGUUGGUGGGGAGUGGUGUGUGCUGUACAUUAGGGUUUGUGGUGCCGACUCUGUUUCAUCUGAUCGUGUUCAAGAGUGAGAUGGGGUGGGGGCAAUGGUGCUCUGAUGUGAGCAUUUUGGUGUUGGGAGUUGUUCUUGGGGUUUCAGGAACUUGGUCUGCUCUCCAGGAGAUAUUUGCUGCCAAAGUAUAGGAGGGUUAUACGAGUUGAUGUGUAUUUUGAUUAGCAUAGAUUGAAUGAUUUUAUCUGUAUGACUAAAAGAUUUGUCAUCACAGUUUGAUUGCAUCAUUAUUCAAAACCUGUAAAGGUCUGAUGUUCAAAGAAAUUUACCACAAUCUAAUGAAGGGCUUGCAUUGUCAUUUGUCAC